GAGUUUGAUCCUGGCUCAGGAUGAACGCUAGCGACAGGCCUAACACAUGCAAGUCGAGGGGCAGCAUAAAGGUAGCAAUACUUUGGUGGCGACCGACGCACGGGUGAGUAACACGUAUGCAACCUACCUGUAAGCGGGGAAUAACCCGGAGAAAUCCGGACUAAUACCGCAUAAUACUAAUUUUCUGCAUGGGAGAUUAGUUAAACAUUUAUGGCUUACAGAUGGGCAUGCGUAUGAUUAGUUAGUUGGUGAGGUAACGGCUCACCAAGACAUCGAUCAUUAGGGGUUCUGAGAGGAAGGUCCCCCACACUGGUACUGAGACACGG
rnacentral:rRNA from 1 species